UCGAGCGAACAGAGAAGUGCUUGCACUUUCAAAGUUAGCGGCGGACGGGUGAGUAACACGUAAGGAACCUACCGAUAAGCGGGGGACAACAUCCGGAAACGGGUGCUAAUACCGCAUAGGAAGUUUGUUCGCAUGAACAAACUUAGAAAGAUGGCUCUGCUAUCACUUAUCGAUGGCCUUGCGGUGCAUUAACUAGUUGGCGAGGUAACGGCUCACCAAGGUGAUGAUGCAUAGCCGACCUGAGAGGGUAAUCGGCCACAUUGGGACUGAGACACGGCCCAAACUCCUACGGGAGGCAGCAGUAGGGAAUCUUCCGCGAUGGACGCAAGUCUGACGGAGCAACGCCGCGUGAGUGAAGAAGGUUUUCGGAUCGUAAAACUCUGUUGUAAGAGAAGAACAAAUUGUAGAGUAACUGCUACAGUCUUGACGGUAUCUUACCAGAAAGCCACGGCUAACUACGUGCCAGCAGCCGCGGUAAUACGUAGGUGGCAAGCGUUGUCCGGAUUUAUUGGGCGUAAAGGGGGCGCAGGCUGCUUCUUAAGUCUGAUGUGAAAGCCCACGGCUUAACCGUGGAAGUGCAUUGGAAACUGGGAAGCUUGAGUGCAGAAGAGGAAAGUGGAACUCCAUGUGUAGCGGUGGAAUGCGUAGAUAUAUGGAAGAACACCAGUGGCGAAAGCGACUUUCUGGUCUGUCACUGACGCUGAGGCCCGAAAGCGUGGGUAGCAAACAGGAUUAGAUACCCUGGUAGUCCACGCUGUAAACGAUGAGCGCUAGGUGUUGGAG
rnacentral:rRNA from 1 species